UGACAAGAAAUAACAAUACAAGGCAGUUAAAAUGCUUUGUAAUUGGAAUGAUAGAAAUUUAAACACUUUUUAAAGUAUCAAUUGGAGGGCAAGUCUGGUGCCAGCAGCCGCGGUAAUUCCAGCUCCAAUAGCGUAUAUUAAAAUUGUUGCAGUUAAAAAGCUCGUAGUUGAAUUUCUGUUAAAAAUAACCGGUCUGCUUUUAAUAAAAGUGGUAUCUUGGUGUGUUUUUAGCAAUAAUGUCCUUUGAAAUGUUUUUUACUUUAUUGUAAUAAAUAAUAUUCAGGAUUUUUACUUUGAGAAAAUUAGAGUGUUUCUAGCAGGCUAACGCUUUGAAUACUGCAGCAUGGAAUAAUAAAAUAGGAUUUUASUUCUACAUUAUUGGUUUUAAGAACUAAAUUAAUGAUUGAUAGGGACAGUUGGGGGCAUUUGUAUUUAACUGUCAAAGGUGAAAUUCUUAGAUUUGUUAAAGACAAACUACUGCGAAAGCAUUUGCCAAAGAUGUUUUCAUUAAUCAAGAACGAAAGUUAGGGGAUCGAAGACGAUCAGAUACCGUCGUAGUCUUAACUAUAAACUAUGCCGACUAGAGAU
rnacentral:rRNA from 1 species